GACGAACGCUGGCGGCGUGCUUAACACAUGCAAGUCGAACGGAAAGGCCCUGCUUUUGUUGGGUGCUCGAUUGGCGAACGGGUGAGUAACACGUGAGUAACCUGCCCUUGUCUUUGUGAUAACUUCAGGAAACUGGGGCUAAUACCGGAUAUGAGCUCCUGCUGCAUGUUGGGGGUUGGAGAGUUUCGGCGUUUCGGGAUGGUCUCGCGGCUUAUCAGCUUGUUGGUGGGGUAGUGGCUUACCAAGGCUUUGACGGGUAGCCGGCCUGAGAGGGUGACCGGGCACAAUGGUACUGAGAUACGGCGCAGACUCCUACGGGAGGCAGCAGUCGGGAAUAUUGCAGAAUGGGCGGAAGCCUGAUGCAGCAACGCCGCGUGCGGGAUGACGGCCUUCGGGUUGUAAACCGCUUUCGCCUGUGACGAAGCGUGAGUGACGGUAAUGGGUAAAGAAGCACCGGCUAACUACGUG
rnacentral:rRNA from 1 species